GGCAUACACGCUCCAGCCUCCGCCAGGAACCGGGCGAUAGCCCCGAUUAACCCUUUCGGCACCCAGCGCACACCCCCAGCGCGGCUCUGAGAUGCUCCAGAGGACGGAGGCGAUAAGGCGACGUUUGGCGAUGACCCGCUCUGGGACGCGGGCGAUCGCACAGCAGCGCGUGCUAAUCUGCACAUCCGCGGUGCCGCGGCUGCUCGUCAGCGGGGCAGCCCCAGCCCCGGGCCGUUUGCUAGCUAAUUCCUGGGGGAGGCAACAUGAGCAAGGAUCUGUGCCUCUGCUUCRUCCUUGCCCUCUCCAGGAGUUGCCAGCUCUGGACACCAGCAGAAGCACCUGGAGACUUACCUAGCACCACAAAGAGGAGUUCCCUGAACGCGCCUUUUCUGAGCUGUCUCACAAAGCAACGGGACAAGAACUGAUAAAUUGGUAAGAGUGGCUGGAGGGGAAACGAAAGCAGAAGACCAGACCCUCUGGUCAGAGUGUGGCUAUGAUUCAGCUCUGAACCAUGGGUAACCUUCUCCUGGCUUUUACCAAGGUUCCUGACAAGGGACAUCUCAGAGAUYGCUUUUCCUUAUUCCACUUUUCCCUAAAUCCCGCAGUGCAGGUGACUCCUGGCAGCGCAUYCUCCCUGCCAGCGCUGUGCCUGGUGCCGUGUCUGGUGACCCUCCGGACUGAACUUGGUGGGCUCCGUUUCCCCAAGCAGAUCUCUACGGGGCUACGCAGCGUACCAGGGUGAAGCUUAGCUAGCGGUGGCCACACCACCUUGGGGACCUGAGCAGCUC
rnacentral:lncRNA from 1 species